rnacentral:rRNA from 1 species
ACGCUGGCGGCGUGCUUAACACAUGCAAGUCGAACGGAAAGGCCCUGCUUUUGUGGGGUGCUCGAGUGGCGAACGGGUGAGUAACACGUGAGUAACCUGCCCUUGACUUUGGGAUAACUUCAGGAAACUGGGGCUAAUACCGGAUAGGAGCUCCUGCUGCAUGGUGGGGGUUGGAAAGUUUCGGCGGUUGGGGAUGGACUCGCGGCUUAUCAGCUUGUUGGUGGGGUAGUGGCUUACCAAGGCUUUGACGGGUAGCCGGCCUGAGAGGGUGACCGGCCACAUUGGGACUGAGAUACGGCCCAGACUCCUACGGGAGGCAGCAGUGGGGAAUAUUGCACAAUGGGCGGAAGCCUGAUGCGGCAACGCCGCGUGCGGGAUGACGGCCUUCGGGUUGUAAACCGCUUUCGCCUGUGACGAAGCGUGAGUGACGGUAAUGGGUAAAGAAGCACCGGCUAACUACGUGCCAGCAGCCGCGGUGAUACGUAGGGUGCGAGCGUUGUCCGGAUUUAUUGGGCGUAAAGGGCUCGUAGGUGGUUGAUCGCGUCGGAAGUGUAAUCUUGGGGCUUAACCCUGAGCGUGCUUUCGAUACGGGUUGACUUGAGGAAGGUAGGGGAGAAUGGAAUUCCUGGUGGAGCGGUGGAAUGCGCAGAUAUCAGGAGGAACACCAGUGGCGAAGGCGGUUCUCUGGGCCUUUCCUGACGCUGAGGAGCGAAAGCGUGGGGAGCGAACAGGCUUAGAUACCCUGGUAGUCCACGCUGUAAACGGUGGGUACUAGGUGUGGGGUCCAUUCCACGGGUUCCGUGCCGUAGCUAACGCUUUAAGUACCCCGCCUGGGGAGUACGGCCGCAAGGCUAAAACUCAAAGGAAUUGACGGGGCCCCGCACAAGCGGCGGAGCAUGCGGAUUAAUUCGAUGCAACGCGUAGAACCUUACCUGGGUUUGACAUGGAUCGGGAGUGCUCAGAGAUGGGUGUGCCUCUUUUGGGGUCGGUUCACAGGUGGUGCAUGGCUGUCGUCAGCUCGUGUCGUGAGAUGUUGGGUUAAGUCCCGCAACGAGCGCAACCCUUGUUCACUGUUGCCAGCACGUUAUGGUGGGGACUCAGUGGAGACCGCCGGGGUCAACUCGGAGGAAGGUGGGGAUGACGUCAAGUCAUCAUGCCCCUUAUGUCCAGGGCUUCACGCAUGCUACAAUGGCUGGUACAGAGAGUGGCGAGCCUGUGAGGGUGAGCGAAUCUCGGAAAGCCGGUCUCAGUUCGGAUUGGGGUCUGCAACUCGACCUCAUGAAGUCGGAGUCGCUAGUAAUCGCAGAUCAGCAACGCUGCGGUGAAUACGUUCCCGGGGCUUGUACACACCGCCCGUCAAGUCAUGAAAGUUGGUAACACCCGAAGCCGGAGGCCUAACCGUUGUGGGGGAGCCGUCGAAGGUGGGACUGGU